GACAGAGGUGCCGAGCGUUAGGCGGAAUCACUGGGCUUAAAGCGUGUGUAGGCGGGUCGUUAAGUGUCUUGUGAAAUCCCACCGCUCAACGGUGGAACUGCUGGGCAUACUGGCGAUCUUGAGCCACCUAGGGGCAGACGGAACAAGCGGUGGAGCGGUGAAAUGCGUAGAUAUCGCUUGGAACGCCGACGGUGAAACAGUCUGCUGGGGUGUGCUGACGCUGAGACACGAAAGCCAGGGGAGCGAACGGG
rnacentral:rRNA from 1 species